UCCCCUUGCAGCAGCCAUCGUACGCCACCGCCACCAGCCCACAACGGAGUCCUGGCCGCCGGCUCCCCGUUGCUCUUCGCCUCCUUGGAAGGGCACCGGCAUGCAGAGGCAAGGAAUGCCACUCCUCCUCUGACCAGCCAGCCAUAGCGGCGUCGUUCCUCUGACAUGCGAAGGGGCUCUCCUCUCCCACCGGUCGGUGCCUCGACUUGGACUCCUACAGCCGGCACCUCCACUUCAGCUCGCACCGGCCGGCAUCCUCCGCCGCCAAAUCUUAACGACUUCGAGUUCCUUUGGCCGUCGUCAUGAACCUCCAAGCAGAUAACCUACCCUUCAUGUGUAUCUCCCGUUAUAUCUCCUCUCUGUUCUGAUUUUCAGAAAGAAGGUUGAUUUGUGGCCCGUUUCCAACAGGUAGAUGGGAUAGCAAUGGCCGUUCCUUGGUUGAAGGAUGCAAUGCAGCUCACUAAAUUCGAAGUUGUACUAUUUUGGACUGCCUAGAUACCCAAGCAGGGGAGAUAAAGGCUGCAAGUUGGGUAGAAAGCGGUCUAAUUCUCGGCAAUACUCUUUACUUGGUAUUUGAUGAUUACUCUUUACUUGGUACAAAGUUCUUGAUGAUUUUAAUAUAGUCUGACCCUGCUGUAGAAAGAAGCUUACAUACAUGCCUGGAUGUGUUUGAGAUGCAUUGUAGUGUGUAUUACUCUUUAGUCGGUAUAAUGUUCUAGAUGAUUUUAAUAGUCUGGCCCUGCUGUAGAAAACAGUUUACAUACAUGCCUGGAUGUGUUCGAGAUGCAUUGCAGUGUGUACUCAUAGGUGGUCGUGAAGGGCGACUAAAAGUAAUCCAUCAUCACAUCAAGUUUCUGGAAUUCCGGGGAUUGAAAUCAGAUCGAGAUGCCAAUGUCCUGUAUGUUGCUUCAGUUAUAUGGCUUGAGCUGGUCAAUCUGCAAGAUGAUGCAAAAAAUUGCUUGCAGAUAGUCUGUAUAUAUGUGUACAGACAUGCAUGUUGUAUGUUUAUAUCAAUUUUGCAAAUUGACAUUUGUUCAAAUGCUUCUAAGUAGUGCUUCGUGAAGAUUCAAAGUAAAUCUAAAUUACUUUGUGUUGCCUAUCCUAUUACUUGAUUUUUUUGCUAACUAUGUGUAUGAGUAAAUUUCCAAGAUGAUGCAAAAAAAUUGCUUGCAGAUAGUCUGUAUGUGUACACACAUGCAUGUUGUAUGUUUAUAUUAACUUUGCAAUACUGAUGUUUGUUCAGAUUCUUCUAAGCAGUAGGCUCUAGCAGAACGAUGCUUCCCUUUCCUUACUGUUGUUGCUAAAUAUUUGUUUUAUGUGGCAUAUGAGGACUGAACAACAUCAGGCCAACGACCUCACCCUGGGAGUCCACUUCUUUACGGUCACGACAUCUGCCUUGACAAAUUAUCUGGAGUUGAGCUGCAGAGACGAAUGGGGAGGUGGACUUUGCUGUAGUUAUCAUGUGUUCUUGCAAUUAGAACACCUGGGGAUUAUAAGCCAAUAUACGAUUUGUUCAUUUUCUUUUAGAGGGAAAGCCAUGGUGUCCAGAUGGCUCAAGCAGUUCUGAUAUUUGAUAUAGAUUUGAAGGACCAGGAGAACCUAACUGGCUCAUUCCUAUACCACCAUUCCGAUAUAUACGGGGCAGUUCUUAAACGUGCAAAUGUUAAAGCCAUUAAAACACCCUCUUAGGUUCGUAUACAUAAGCAACUGCCAUAU